GUCGCUGUAACACCCGAAAUCUGGGAUCUGGGAUGGGAUUGAAAUGGGGGUUUAUUGGCACCCCUCAAAACGCUGCGCAUGCGCGCUGGCCUCCACGCGCUCCGUGCUGCCGCCUUGUGGGCACACCCGGUACUGCAGCUCCGAGCGCCCUCGGCGCUUCCCAGGCUCCGCCGGCACCGGGACACGGAGCUGGACCGGGACCACGACCGGGACAGCGACCGGGACAGCGACCGGGACCGGCCGUGCGGGACCGGCUGCCGGGGCUUCUCCCGGCGCCUCUCCCGGCAGGAACGGCGGCCGCUGUGCCGGGAGCGGCAGUGGCGGAUGAGGAAGCCAGGCCUGCUGAGGAGGAAGAUGAGGAGGUGUGGGAGGAUGGAGACAGCGGCCACCAAAGGCUGGGGAAGGCACAGAUCCAGGCAGGAGAGCCUUGUCCCAAGCCAGGAUUUCACUGGAGGGUCCUCAGCUCCUUGGGAAUUGCUUGAAGAACAGAAGAGUGAGGAGAUGGGGAUGCUCCCAGCCAUCACAGAGAUGUGGGAACAGCCCAGUUCCAGUGAGGAAUGUGCAAAGAACAUCCAGAACUGCCUCCUCACCCUCAUGGACAGCAGGAAUGCCUUCCAUAGCUCUUGUUUUGGAAUGGGAAUGGCUGUUGGGAGCUCUGGCAGGAGCACCUGGAGACCAGCAGUGGGAUUGCUUUGGCUGCUGCUGGAGGACAUGGGCUGUGACAAGGGAAUUGGCCCCAGAUGGAUCACAGCAGGACUAUGGAAAUUCCCUGCACUGGGAGGUUGUGGUGCUCUGGGUUAAAUUUUGGAUUCAUAAUGUUAAAGGUGGGGUGUGGAGGGGCUUCUCUCCUGUUCAUUAUUGUUGUUAUCAAUGUUCUUGCUCUCAGUGUUACUAUGUGUUGUCAUUACUCUCAAAUGAUUGCAUUUGUCUUGGUUUCCAUUAUUAAACUGUUCUGAGCUGGAAUUUUGUCUCUGGUCUCUUCCCCAUCCCACGGGGGGUGAGGGAGCGGCUGCUGGUGCCCAGCUGGGGUCCAGCCGUGGCCCCGGGCACUUCUGGGGGCUCCGAACCCGAGGGACAGGAGCGGUUUUGGGCUCACAAAAAGAGACCCAGUGCUGCGUUUCGGGGGCUCAAAAGCAGGCGCAGAGCUUAAAAGCAGAGACUAAAUCCUGCACUGUGGAGUCCUGAGAGCAGGCUGGUAUGGCCAGAGCUGGGACUCAGAAACAGUGACUAAAUCCUGUUCUCAGGGCUUGAGGAAGAGAGCGAGUCCUGUGUGUUCGGGCUCACAAAGAGAAACGGAAGUGCUGCGUUCUGCUGGACUGAAUUAAAGCCCAAGUGCCGUGUUUUGAUGUUCAAAGCGGGCUCUUGGGGCCAGGGCGAGUCUGUGUCUCUGGGCUCCGAGUCCUGCCUCAGGCACAGCCCGAAGCCGGGCUCGCCGGCCCCACGCAGAGCUCGGGAGCAGCGACUCAGCGCCGCGUCCGGGGCUGGCGGCAGAGCCCGGGGCCGCGUCGUGGGGCCCAAGGCGGGCUCCGGGAGGGGCUCAGGGCUGGGAGCGGAGCCCGGCCCGGCGCGUCGGGCCCGGCUCGGGAUCCCGGGGCUGCCCGGGCGCCGGCACAGCCCCGGCUCCCCGCGGAGAGCCGGCCGGAGCAGGAGCGGCAGCGCCGGGCUCGGCCCCAGCGCCCGUCCCGGAGCGGCUCCUCCCGGUGCCGAUCCCAGCCCCGAUCCCGCCGGGGGAGAGGCGGCCCCGC
ensembl:lncRNA